rnacentral:rRNA from 1 species
GACGAACGCUGGCGGCGUGCCUAAUACAUGCAAGUUGAGCGCUGAAGGUUGGUACUUGUACCAACUGGAUGAGCAGCGAACGGGUGAGUAACGCGUGGGGAAUCUGCCUUUGAGCGGGGGACAACAUUUGGAAACGAAUGCUAAUACCGCAUAAAAACUUUAAACACAAGUUUUAAGUUUGAAAGAUGCAAUUGCAUCACUCAAAGAUGAUCCCGCGUUGUAUUAGCUAGUUGGUGAGGUAAAGGCUCACCAAGGCGAUGAUACAUAGCCGACCUGAGAGGGUGAUCGGCCACAUUGGGACUGAGACACGGCCCAAACCCCUACGGGAGGCAGCAGUAGGGAAGCUUCGGCAAUGGACGAAAGUCUGACCGAGAAACGCCGCGUGAGUGAAGAAGGGUUUCGGAUCGUAAAACUCGGUUGGUAGAGAAGAACGUUGGUGAGAGUGGAAAGCUCAUCAAGUGACGGUAACUACCCAGAAAGGGACGGCUAACUACGUG